CAUGGAGGGAAGGGGUGGCAUGAAAAGGCUCUUGACCGUGAGUUAAGACCUAUCCAAUUAAGUAACAGGAAGACAGCAGCAUUUCCAAUUGGUUAUAUGUUGCAAGGAUGGACAUGUCAACAGACUAACAAUGGAAGAGUGGUUGGUGAGUGUGGGACAUGGGAAAUCCUUUGACAAAAGACACAUUUUCCAAUAAAAAUGGUGGUUUAGACUCUCAGUGACCAAAAUAGACAAGAAUAUAAUGGCCUGUUGCUCAAUGUACUUUUAUCUUUAGGACAGAACAGUGUGGAUUCAAAUCCCACAUUGGUGAUUGAAGCAGAAAAAGAUAAACACAAGAGAUUCUGCAGAUGCUGGAAAUCCAGAGCAAUACACACAAAAUGCUGGAGGAACUCAGCAGAUCAGGUUGAUACCUGCUCACUUUGACUCCAUGCCAAAGUAAACCAACCCCUUUGAAACCCUCUGUCACUUCAGCCUUCUAAACUAAAGGACAUCGGAUCCCAACUUCUCCAGUGGACUCGCAGACAUUCACAGAUCCAGUGGCCAUGAUGGAGCUGGUGAUGGCUGCAACCCUCUGCAGCCUCUUGGAAUCCGAUACAAACUGCUCUCACCGCACAUCUACAAAUCUCUAAAACUGAAUUUAAUACUCCAAAAAGGUGUCCUAACCAAGUCUCCAUACCCAUCCAGUACUGCAGCUUACUGCAUUCUGGUGGUGAUAAAAGACUCAGCUUUGGCUAUUUGUGUGCCUGAAAUAAAUAAAUCCCUUCCCUUGUGGAAUAAAAAGACAUCUGCAUUGUUAUUCUUAUUUUAUCA